GGGGAUGUAGCUCAGUGGUAGAGGGCAUGCUUUGCAUGUAUAAGUUCCUGGGUUCAAUCCCCAGCAUCUCCA
rfam:Danio rerio chromosome 21, GRCz11 reference primary assembly.